CGCACACGCGCCGGACCGGGUACCUCUGUGCCCGACCUGGCCGCGGCCUAGUCCCGGCAGACGGGACUGACGAGGUCACCAACACCAGGCCGAGACGGCGUGGGUGUCAGGGACUUGGGAAUCCCCCUCCCCCAGUCCCGAUCCCGCUUUCCUCUGGGGUGAAACCCCAGAGGACCCGACGUCACUCUUGCAGUUUCCUCAUCCUCAAGAUGGACUGCACCAUCCGGCAUCUCAAGUGGUUCUUGUGAAGAUUAAAUGAAUCCAUCAGGCCGGGCGCGGUGGCUCACGCCUGUAAUCCCAGCACUUUGGGAGGCUGAGGUGAGCAGAUCACCUGAGGUCAGGAGUUCCAGACCAGCCUGGCCAACAGGCUGCCAGCAGCCUUGAAGCCACCUGGGACUGCACAGUAUGUCUGUGUGUGCCUUGAUCGCAUCACCCCCUGGACCUCCAGUGACCGAGAUCUCCCGCCAGACACCCGGGGCUGAGUCCUCGGAGAAGCCGCCUGCCGGGUGCAUCACCAGGACUCCAUUGGUGGUCAGUCCAUCCAUCAGGCCAUCUGGGGUCCGCCAUUUGGCCGCUCGCUCCUGGGACCACAUGAGGGAUCAGAUCACAUCCCCCAGGGGCCCCCCGGCAGGCCAUGUGCUAGAGGCACUGCCCCCCUACCCUCAGGUUCAGAGGCGGCCCAGAGAGGACUGGCAUUGAAGCUGCAUGACUUGAGCGUCUCUCUGGGCCUCACUUUGCUCAUCAGUUAGGUGGGGUUGCUAAGCCCUGCCAGGACCAUCAUUUGGAUUACUGUGGGCUGGUUCAUCACCUCAAGAUGCUGCACCUCCCAA
rnacentral:antisense_RNA from 1 species